AUCUUUGUUUUAUUAAUUUUGUAGAAAACGUCGGUAUCUAUAUUAUCGAUGAUCAUAUAUAAUGAGUAUAUACAAUAAAGUUAGUUUCACGAUUUUAUGUUAGAUGGUAGUCCGAAUGAAAUCCAUGUUGUGUUUAAUUUAUUUAAGAAUGCUUAAUGAGUUGAUAUUAAAGAGAGAUCGAGAAUAUGCUGAAAUAUUUAUUAAUAAUUAAAUGAAUAAUAAAGGUUUUUCAAUUUCAGGUAACAUUAUCAUAUCUAUAUUACCGGAAACAAAGUGGCGAUGUUAUGGUCCAAGAUAGACGACUUCUCUGUAACAAUUGAGUUCUGAAAGAACUCUGACAUCUUGUCUCACUUCUUACAGCAAACUUGACGGAAAAUUUAUCCAAUUGGUCGAAUGCUCGAUGUUUUGUUACUUAUGGCAGAUUGCCAAAAUUAUUCGUGGAACUUGUUGAGGUUAAGCAAAAUAUUAUCUAAAAAUGCUCGUCUGCACACCUUCAAAACAAUUGUGAGAAACUUUUUUCUUCUUUUUUCUACUUUUUUUUUCUACCGAAUUAUUGAUUUCCAAUAUUCGAAACGUUAGUCAAUAUGUGAAACAUUUUAAUUUAUUAUUUAGAACUUUUCUUACGACUCGAAUCGAUAUCCAAGAGAAAUAAUCACAUGACAAUCACUGCACCUAAGAAUAAUUUAUUCCGUGACUAUCUUUUCAAUAUUGCCAAACGUUUCUCUCAGGAAUUAGCAUUCUGUACGUAAUACAUAUAAUUACGUAUGCUUGCUGCAGUCUUGAUAGAAGACAUCACAGAAACAUCAUCCAUGCAAUAAAUAGUUGUAGGUUAAUGAUAAACGUUGAAAUCUUUAUUGCAUUAUAAUUUUUCUUUUCAAACCGAAUUAAUCUCAAGGAUGAACUUCCGUUUGAUUUAGAAUAUCUGUUUAAGCGAUAAGGUAAAAUUUAAUUAAAUCACGCGUGCUAGAUCUCUAAAAGAUAUGUUUAAUGUUUAAGGAUAAUUAACAUUUCCGGAUAAUCACGAUUAAUCGUAUGAACAAGAUAAGAAAGAUUGGAGCAACCUUGAUUCCUCGUGUAUUCAGUAUGUAAUUAAUUUUUAUAUCAUACUUUAAUUUUGUUUUCAUUUAUGCUAUUUAUCAAACGAAAAGGAAUUUAAGAUAUAGAGCUUGUUUAAGAAUACAAAUAAUCGAGAAAGAGAAAAAUAAAUUAGAGGUAAAUGUACCAAGGCCAAGAUAACAUAAUCCUCAUGAUAAUGUAAUCCUCAAUACUAAAUCUCGAUUAUCACAAGGAUAAAGAUUUUUAUGUAAAAUUUGAGAAAGUGCCAUUUAUCGCGUUAGAAAGUUCAAGAAAUGAGCUUAUCAGUUCGUUAUAGAAUAAGAUUUUAGUAUGAAAUUAGUACAAACAUUUUCCUUAUAUAACAAUUUUAUUAUUAUUAUAUACGCUAUAUUGAAAUUGAAUUUAUAUUAUUCAAAUUUAUCUAUUUUAUCUACAUAUAAUCAAGUAUAAUAAUCAUGCACGAAUCACAAAAGAAAAAUUAUUACACUUUCUCCAAUAGAAUUUAUUCUACCAUUGACGUAAAUCAAUAAAGAUAAACCAGAGAAGAUUAAAAUAUAAUAAAUAAAUAAAUUUUUCUAGAAAAUUUGUAAUCAUGCUCAAUAUAUGAACACAUAAAAUGCCAAUCAAAUGUCUUUAAUUGGAUAUAAUAUAAAUGAUAAUACGAUUCUGUGCAUUACAUAUCAUGUUUACAAAAACAGAGGUACACAUCUGCAAGUGAAAUUUGGUUUGCAUAAAGAUGCAUAAAAUUGAUGGAUGCACGCAUCUGGCGUAGAAGCUUGUUUUCCGUACGUAUCAAUGUGCACAUACUAACCAGUGGGUCAAGCGUUUUGCACGUUUUGCAUGACACAUAGUGUAUUUCUCGCGCAAGUUGCGUCUAGAUGACGAUAUAGAUAGUUGUGCAUACAUGCUCGGUCCACGUGCCAGUCACGUGCUCGAUGCGAGAGAGGUAUGUCACGUGAAUGGUCUACACCCGCAAACAAAGGCAAUAAAAUUGCGUUAGUAUCAUGCAAACUAAACAUCGAGUGAAAAGCCAAUGCAACUAACUCGAACUUUCAUCAGAUCUAUUUUUGAAAAGACGAAACUAUAAUACUUUAAAAAUUUGAAAUUUUCGUAAUUCAAUUUUUUGACGUUACAAUAAGUUUUUCUCUUCAUAUCAAAAAUUGUUGAUUCUAACUUCAAUUGUUUUUCGCUUUGCUUCAUUUUUUUCUUUCUUUUUAUUAAAAAUAGUUUAAGACGCAUAACAGCCAAUUAUAAAUAUACUUUUAACAUUAAGUCUUUAAAAGUGUGCAGGUCAAGGUCGGGACAAUGGCAAUAUCGACGUAAUGCGCAUGAACGAUUCGAUUCGAUUGACUUACCUUACAUUCGAGAAUCGAGAAAUGGCGCGGGAAAUUCUAUCGUUUCAUCUUUAUUUAUUUCAUGAGUCGAGAUUCGAGAAGGAUUUAAAGAUACGUUUUUCUUGGUGAUCAUCUGAUUUACGUAACAUUGCCACCAACGUCGCGUUAUAAUUCUUUAAAUACAUUUCAAACAUAUUUUUCUGUUCAGAUGCACAAUAAUGUAUUUAAGCGAUUACGUAAUGCAGCUCUCAAUACUAGUUGACUUUAUCGAUCAAUAUUUCUACAAUAUAAUGGACAGGUAACAAAUGCAAUAAUUUAUUUUUCAUUUUUGCAGAAAAUGAUCGGUAUAUCGAUAUUAUGGAGUAUUAAAAAGUAAAACGUUUUCAACUGAAUUAAAAAAAAAAAAAUUAUUUAAAUGCUAUAAUUAAGAAACAUUAUCGAUUACCUUGAAAUUAUUUUAUUUUUUAGACUUAUUAACCAAUGUACAAUGUAAUUUUACAAAAUUAUAAAAUGUAGCAACAUCUAACUGACAAAUGAUCAUUCUGUGGAAAACAAGGGUCUGUCAUCUGUCGUGCCGAAAAUAACAAGUGUUAACUUUAUUUUUAAACUGAUACUGAUAAAUAGAUAGAAAAGUAGAUCGUUGUACGUAUAUAGUUAUAUUCGUUUUAAUGCAUUUGUUGGAAAAUACAUAUAAAGAGUAAAUAUAAUUAUAACUAUCAGAAGAGCUGCAAAAAAUCUUUAUCGGAAUUAUAAAAAUUUAUUUUGCAACGAUUAUCAUUAUUAUAAUAAUAGUAAUAUUAAAAAUUGAUUAUAUUAUUAACACAGUAAUCAAACUUUUAAAUAUUUUUUAUCGUAUUUUUGCUCUAAAAAAUUUAUAUCGUAAUUAGGUCAUUUUAUAUCAUAAAUAUCUUUAAUUCCCAAGGAUAAAUUCCAGUACAAAAUAAAAAUUAAUAUUAAAAUUUAUCAAAGUUAAAUAUACUCCGCAAUCUAGAUUGGAAAAUCUAACAAUAAGUGUUUAAUUGUAUCGCUUUGUAAUACAGUUUACUUCACGCAAAUAAAUUUUUACACAACAUGAAAAGAAGAAGGAUAUUUGUACCACUAUAUUAUUCAUAAAGAAUGUAAAACAGAAUUCUCACACAUCAUGUGACAUUUUAAUCUACACUCGUGACGCAUGCAUUUCUGUAUGGAAACAGCUCGUAUGACAAUAGCUUUCCACAUGAUUCAUUACCUCCUGUUCAUUGGAAAAGUUCUCAAGACCGAUCGCCAUUAUGAAUGCUAUUAAAACUAGCAUUGGAAAUAUUCUUUGAUAUGUUUAACGAAUAAAGAAUAUCAGAUUUGGAUAGAUUUGCAUAGAGAGUUAAUGAAAUAAAAAAGAAGAAACACGAUCGAUAACAUUGCUUAAUUUAUGGCACUAAGCAUAUUUGCUCAGAAUAGAUGAAACAAAUCGGCUUAAACAAUUUCAAAACAAUGAAUUAUCGAUAUCGAUAAUAUUCGAUCGAAAGAUUGGCAAAUAUUGCCCAUUCAAGGAUUAACAGGUGAUAAAUCGAACAUACUCUUUAUCUUAUUAUGUUAAUGAAACAACAUGAUAAUUAUAUGUUUCAUCGAGUAGCAUACAUUAUAUUAAU